rnacentral:rRNA from 1 species
CCUACGGGAGGCAGCAGUAGGGAAUAUUGCUCAAUGGGGGAAACCCUGAAGCAGCAACGCCGCGUGGAGGAUGAAGGUUUUCGGAUUGUAAACUCCUUUUGUUAGAGAAGAAAAUGACGGUAUCUAACGAAUAAGCACCGUCUAACUCCGUGCCAGCAGCCGCGGUAAUACGGAGGGUGCAAGCGUUAUUCGGAAUAACUGGGCGUAAAGGGCGCGUAGGCGGGAUAGCAAGUCAGAUGUGAAAUCCUAUGGCUUAACCAUAGAACUGCAUUUGAAACUGUUAUUCUAGAGUAUGGGAGAGGUAGGUGGAAUUCUUGGUGUAGCGGUGAAAUCCGUAGAGAUCAAGAGGAAUACUCAUUGCGAAGGCGACCUGCUAGAACAUAACUGACGCUGAUGCGCGAAAGCGUGGGGAGCAAACAGGAUUAGAUACCCGGGUAGUC